GAGAAGUACGUAGCACUACGUAUUGUAAAGUGGCGCACGGGUGAGUAACACGUGGGUAAUCUGCCCUUGAGUUUGGGAUAACCCCGCGAAAGCGGGGCUAAUACCGGAUAAGACCACGGGGACCAACGUCCCUGAGGUAAAAGAUGGCCUCUAUUUAUAAGCUAUCACUUAAGGAUGAGCCCGCGGCCCAUUAGCUAGUUGGCGGGGUAACGGCCCACCAAGGCUAUGAUGGGUAGCUGGUCUGAGAGGACGAUCAGCCACACUGGAACUGAGACACGGUCCAGACUCCUACGGGAGGCAGCAGUGGGGAAUAUUGCGCAAUGGGCGAAAGCCUGACGCAGCAACGCCGCGUGGGGGAUGAAGGUUUUCGGAUUGUAAACCCCUUUCGACCGGAACGAAUCUCCUCUUGGUAAAUAAUCAGGAGGAUCGACGGUACCGGGAGAAGAAGCCACGGCUAACUCUGUGCCAGCAGCCGCGGUAAGACAGAGGUGGCUAGCGUUGUUCGGAUUUAUUGGGCGUAAAGCGAACGCAGGUGGUUUGGUAAGUCAGGGGUGAAAGUUCGCAGCUUAACUGCGACACUGCCUUUGAUACUGCCUUUCUUGAGUGCAUGAGGGGGAAGCGGAAUUCCGAGUGUAGAGGUGAAAUUCGUAGAUAUUCGGAGGAACACCGGUGGCGAAGGCGGCUUCCUGGCAUGUAACUGACACUCAUGUUCGAAAGCGUGGGUAGCAAACAGGAUUAGAUACCCUGGUAGUCCACGCCCUAAACGAUGGGCACUAGGUGUGGGAGGUAUCGACCCCUUCCGUGCCGCAGCUAACGCAUUAAGUGCCCCGCCUGGGGAGUACGGCCCGCAAGGUUGAAACUCAAA
rnacentral:rRNA from 1 species